rnacentral:rRNA from 1 species
UACGUAGGGCGCAAGCGUUAUCCGGAAUUAUUGGGCGUAAAGAGCUCGUAGGCGGUUUGUCGCGUCUGCCGUGAAAGUCCGGGGCUCAACUCCGGAUCUGCGGUGGGUACGGGCAGACUAGAGUGAUGUAGGGGGAGACUGGAAUUCCUGGUGUAGCGGUGAAAUGCGCAGAUAUCAGGAGGAACACCGGUGGCGAAGGCGGUUCUCUGGGCCUUACCUGACGCUGAGGAGCGAAAGCGUGGGGAGCGAACAGG